UACAGAGGGCGCAAGCGUUGUUCGGAAUUACUGGGCGUAAAGGGCUCGUAGGCGGCCAACUAAGUCGGAUGUGAAAUCCCCAGGCUCAACUUGGGAACUGCAUCCGAUACUGGAUGGCUUGAAUUCGGGAGAGGGAUGCAGAAUUCCAGGUGUAGCGGUGAAAUGCGUAGAUAUCUGGAGGAAUACCGGUGGCGAAGGCGGCAUCUUGGACCGACAUUGACGCUGAGGAGCGAAAGCGUGGGGAGCAAACAGG
rnacentral:rRNA from 1 species